CCUACGGGAGGCUGCAGUGAGGAAUAUUGGUCAAUGGACGAGAGUCUGAACCAGCCAAGUAGCGUGAAGGAUGACUGCCCUAUGGGUUGUAAACUUCUUUUAUAAAGGAAUAAAACGAGGCACGUGUGCCUUUUUGCAUGUACUUUAUGAAUAAGGAUCGGCUAACUCCUUGCCAGCAGCCGCGGUAAUACGGAGGAUCCGAGCGUUAUCCGGAUUUAUUGGGUUUAAAGGGAGCGUAGAUGGGUUGUUAAGUCAGUUGUGAAAGUUUGCGGCUCAACCGUAAAAUUGCAAUUGAUACUGGCAGUCGUGAGUACAGUUGAGGUAAGCGGAAUUCGUGGUGUAGCGGUGAAAUGCUUAGAUAUCACGAAGAAACCCGAUUGCGAAGGCAGCUUACUAAACUGUGACUGACAUUGAUGCUCGAAAGUGUGGGUAUCAAACAGGAUUAGAUACCCGAGUAGUC
rnacentral:rRNA from 1 species